ACAAGCGAGCCAAAGAAUUCCUGCCCUAUGCCUUGGUGCAAUCAAACCUGGACACAGAAGAUUCAGAGGCUGCAAAGAAAGCACGCCGCAAGAGGAAAAGAAAAGUUAUUUUAGAAAGUGAUAGCGAAGAUUCGAGUAGUGUCCAGAGCUCCUUCACGCAAGAUGCUACGGGAUCAGUUCAAUUUGAAAACGAUGGACAUGUGGAGACCCAAAGCACACUUUCUCGGACAACAACCCAGUACAACUACACACCAGGCAUACAGAGGCAAGCAAUGCGACCAGCUUCACAUUUGGGCUUCAAUGACAUGCACCACAGGUCUAUUGUGCCAAGCAGAGAAGAGCACCCAGCAAGACUGAACGCCAGAGUAAACAGGCCAUUGUGCGAUGCAAGGCAGAGCCAUGUGGAAAACAGUAAUUCACAUCACUUUGAACCAGUGCCUUCGACAGCAAACGUUAGUCGACAAAUUGAAAGGCUGGGUGAGCGGUUUGCUGGUAAGAGAAGAUUGCGCACUGUGCUCUUUUAUAUAAUGCUUUGCAGCCUAAAUUCAAUGUGGAAGGGCCUUAGUAAGUAACAAUAAGUUUAGCUAGUAUUUCUUUGCAUUUAUCAUACAUAAUCCGGUUGUAAUGAAAUGAUCUGAUUGUUAGCAGCAGUCUGAUUAGAAGUACACUUUGUUGUUUUCCACGAACAGUUGUGUCAAAAAA